ACCCUCUGGUUCUCUUUCCCAUCGGAUCUGAACGCUAGUCUUGGUGGUUGUUAAAGGAGGAAAAGGAACAAUGAAGCUGGCCUUCCAGUGUUUAUAGUCUGGUAUACAGCUUGUGGGCUGUUUUAAACAAAG
rnacentral:snoRNA from 1 species